CUGGAAUUCCGCCAAAGGCAAUUAAAGAAAUUCAAUCAGCUGCCAAAGCAAAUGGAGCCAUGUUGGGGGUCAGAGUCCAGCAAGACAUUUAGAGGAAAAGAUGUCCUAGAGACUAAACAAACAAGGAAGUCAAAACAAUAUGGCAAAAGCCAGAGAUAAUUUAACUUCCAGCAUCAAAAGCAACACAGAAACAGAUAAAGGGGGAAUGAAGAGCCUGAGGUCUGACCCGAGCUCCUGGAGAGUGUAAGCAAAACCUGACCAUGGGAACUUCCUAAUUUAUAUCAAAACUUCCUGAUUUA